rnacentral:rRNA from 1 species
GACGAACGCUGGCGGCGUGCCUAAUACAUGCAAGUCGAGCGGACAGAUGGGAGCUUGCUCCCUGAAGUCAGCGGCGGACGGGUGAGUAACACGUGGGCAACCUGCCUGUAAGACUGGGAUAACUUCGGGAAACCGGAGCUAAUACCGGAUACGUUCUUUCCUCGCAUGAGGAAAGAUGGAAAGAUGGUUUCGGCUAUCACUUACAGAUGGGCCCGCGGCGCAUUAGCUAGUUGGUGGGGUAAUGGCCCACCAAGGCGACGAUGCGUAGCCGACCUGGGAGGGUGGUCGGCCACACUGGGACUGGGACACGGCCCAGACUCCUACGGGAAGCAGCAGUAGGGAAUCAGCCGCAAUGGACGAAAGUCUGACGGAGCAACGCCGCGUGAGCGAAGAAGGCCUUCGGGUCGUAAAGCUCUGUUGUCAGGGAAGAACAAGUGCCAGAGUAACUGCUGGCACCUUGACGGUACCUGACCAGAAAGCCACGGCUAACUACGUGCCAGACGCCGCCGUAACAC